GCGGCGGUAUUCAAGUGGUUACGAAGCUGGACUGCUAAUCCAGUGCCUUUCGAGGCGCGAGGGUUCAAAUCCCUUCCGCCGCGCCA
rnacentral:tRNA from 1 species